UACGUAGGGUGCGAGCGUUAAUCGGAAUUACUGGGCGUAAAGCGUGCGCAGGCGGCGCGUUAAGACAGGUGUGAAAGCCCCGAGCUUAACUUGGGAAUUGCGCUUGUGACUGGCGUGCUGGAGUGUGGCAGAGGGAGGUGGAAUUCACGUGUAGCAGUGAAAUGCGUAGAGAUGUGGAGGAACACCGAUGGCGAAGGCAGCCUCCUGGGCCAGCACUGACGCUCAUGCACGAAAGCGUGGGGAGC
rnacentral:rRNA from 1 species